rnacentral:lncRNA from 1 species
GGAAGAGUAUGAAAAAAAUAUGGAGACAUAAAAGUAGUUAUGUAAGUAAAAUAUAUGGUCUUCAGUUUUUGAAGGACUGGGCACCUAAUCUGUAUUCUUUCUGUCUAACUCUCUUCCUGUCAUCAUUCUAGAUGUGAAACAUUGGAAUGGAUGGGUGAAAACAACAUCUUGAGCUCAUGUUUAAUGAUCUACCACAGCCAUAUCUUGGGACCUGGGAUUUUCUCCACUUCUUCUAAAGUAGCAUAAGGUCCUGCCUCCGUUGUGUUUCAAUUUAUAAGCUGUCUAUGUUCAAGAAGAAAUUGAAGAGAGAAAGAAGUAUGCUGGGACUUUUCUCCAGAAGGCAACUCGGCAAUUGGCAAUAAGGUCAUGGAGGUUUUGAACCGGAGAGUUAAUAUGAAAACCAUGUAUCAUGCUUUGAGAAGACGAAUCUGGUCACAUCAAAGGGUAAGACAAUGUGAAGAGCAAGGAGAAGAGCAACUUCUCCAGUUCAAGUUCUGGCUCCAGCCCAAAUGCAGAUGCAAGCAGGAUUCCAGGGUUGGAGAGCUACAAGGAAUGAAAAGAAAUACAAAAUAUGUGUUGGGAACCUAUGCAACAAGAUGUAGAGGAAGAAGUUAAGCCUGGAGUGUGUGUUAUAGAAGUGUUUGCUGAUAGGUUGAAAAUAAUUGGAGAAGGUGUGAUCUGAGAGGGCUAAAAAAUGUGAACCUAAGAUGAAAGGUAGGCUCUUAGAGUGGGGAAAAGGCUAGAGAAAGCCUCAUCCUUUGCUCAGAAAAGAUCAAUGACUGUUGAGUGUCGAUGUUCAGUAUGGCUUCCGUUCUCCUCCCUUUUAAAAAAUACAGCUUUAUUGAGUAACAAUUGACAUACAAUAAACUGCAUAUAUUUAAGGUGUAGAAUUUGAUAAGUUUUGAAAUAUGUAUACAUCUGUGAAAUCAUCACUCCCCAAAAGUGUCCUCAUGCCCCUUUGUAACCUCUUUCUCCUGACCCUCACUGCCACCCCAACUCUGUCCCCAGGCAAACACUCAUCUAUAUUCUGCCAUUACAGAUUCGUUUAAAUUUUCUAGAAUUCCAUAUAAAUGAAGUAACACAAUAUAUUCACCCUUUGGGUUGACUUUUUUCACUCAACAAAAGUAUUUUGAGAUUUAUAC